GGGUGAUUAGCUCAGCUGGGAGAGCACCUCCCUUACAAGGAGGGGGUCGGCAGUUCGAUCCUGUCAUCACCCACCA
rnacentral:tRNA from 3 species